rnacentral:rRNA from 1 species
CGGCGGACGGGUGAGUAACACGUGGAUAACCUACCUAUAAGACUGGGAUAACUUCGGGAAACCGGAGCUAAUACCGGAUAAUAUAUUGAACCGCAUGGUUCAAUAGUGAAAGACGGUUUUGCUGUCACUUAUAGAUGGAUCCGCGCCGCAUUAGCUAGUUGGUAAGGUAACGGCUUACCAAGGCAACGAUGCGUAGCCACCUGAGAGGGUGAUCGGCCACACUGGAACUGAGACACGGUCCAGACUCCUACGGGAGGCAGCAGGU